CUUAUGUGCAAAUUACGUUUAGUGCGUCCCACAUAAUUUAAGCUACAGGGGCAUUCCAAUAGGUAUAUUACAUUACUCGAGUGGCAAGUUAUAAGUUCUUUAAUGGGGAAUUCAUCAUUAUUAUUAAAGUUCUUGAACCUCUUAAUGUGUCUCUUUUUAUUGUUUGUAUUCCUGCACGCUAAGCAUGUACCACAUCCAUAAAAACCUUUU